AAAAGGAGGGUUGACUUCUAAAACACUAACCAUGGAAAGGCCACCAAUAGAAAGCUUAUCAUUACUAACUAGACACAUAUAGUAGUCAUGUUAUCAGAAUGUUAUCUUGGAAUCUAUUGAUAAAGAACUUAAUAUUUUUGAACUUUAGUUCCCAAGAUUUUAACUGCUAGGUCAGAGAUAUUCCAUCCAUUCUGUUUUACAUUUCACAGUUGCUUUGAUUGACCUUGAUUAUAACCUUUUACAAAUGCUACUAUAAAGAUCUCACAUUGACCAAAAAUAAAAAAGAAAAAAUUACAGCAUUAUAUAAGUAUCUAGUGCACCUACCAUGUACCAUAAAGCUAUUGAGCAAAUGAAAGUUUAUCUUGAUUUUCUUAUAUAAUGUAAAGAGAUUCCACACAUAGUGCUCUAAUUUGAG
rnacentral:misc_RNA from 1 species